CUGCAAUAUCACAAUCAUUUUCACAGCAACUAAUUCUCAUUCUGCAAGAAGCAGGUUUUUUGACAGGAGGUAAAAGGAAUAAGCAGAAGAAGCUGAGCAGGUCUUAAGGUACAAAGAUCUUAUUUUCAUGAAUCAGCUCCUUGUAACAGGAAGAUGGGAGGACGGAAGUGUUGCGGUAUUAAGAGAUAGAGCAGAAUUGUCUCCUGUAUAGGUGAUUUUUUUUUUUUUGGCUACGAUUCAUGCUAUCUACCUUCAGCUGCUUUAUCUUUUUUCUUCCUUUGAGAUGCUCCAAAGUCCUUCAAUCCAGCUGUUGCUCUGUUGCAGGAAUUGGGCUCUAGGACUUAACACUAUGGCUUAUGGAGAUGCUUCUUGUGUCUGGAGGAGAGCCACUUCCAAGCGAUGCACCCGAGACAUGACAAUCAGCAGCCAAAAUUGAAAUUCUAAGAGAAUGAACUUCUCCAUCGAGCUCAGUGGGGUUGUACCUUACGGCCCGAUACAUCACCUCAUAAAGCUGCAAACUAUAUGGCAUCUCUGCUCUUGUGAUAUUUAAUUAAUAUAGUUGUGGCUACUCUGUUUUCAUACUACACUUCAAACGAUCAGUGUAUCAGUGAUGCCUACUGUAGUGCAACAGCUCAUGGUAGUGUGGAGUUUGCCUAUAUUUCAAGCAUUUUUUUAUAAACUUCACUUCAUCCUUUAAAAUAAGCCAUAUAAAAUAUUUUUAAAAUAAGACUCCUCUUGCGCUUCCCUUGUAACAUCUAUUAGUAGUCAUUGGUGGAGACAGGAAAUGGGAAAUGCCGCUGUGAAGCGGACUGGUAAUCCAGGUACUUCAGUGUG
rnacentral:lncRNA from 1 species